rnacentral:rRNA from 1 species
GACGAACGCUGGCGGCGUGCUUAACACAUGCAAGUCGAACGGAAAGGCCCUGCUUUUGUGGGGUGCUCGAGUGGCGAACGGGUGAGUAACACGUGAGUAACCUGCCCUUGACUUUGGGAUAACUUCAGGAAACUGGGGCUAAUACCGGAUAGGAGCUCCUGCUGCAUGGUGGGGGUUGGAAAGUUUCGGCGGUUGGGGAUGGACUCGCGGCUUAUCAGCUUGUUGGUGGGGUAGUGGCUUACGAAGGCUUUGACGGGUAGCCGGCCUGGGAGGGUGACCGGCCACAUGGGGACUGAGAUACGGACCAGACUCCUACGGGAGGCAGCGGUGGGGAAUAUUGCACAACGGGCGGAAGCCUGAGGUAGAAACGCCGCGUGCGGGAUGACGGCCUUCGGGUUGUAAACCGCUUUCGCCUGUGACGAAGAGUGAGUGACGGUAAUGGGUAAAGAAGCACCGGCUAACUACGUG